AUAACCACUGGACCAUACUUCCUCUCCUGCAGAAGAGAUAUAGGGAAGGCAGUAACAGCAAAGCUUUCCCAACAUACUCAAGCCAUAAUGUCUCACCCCUGACCAGAAGGGACCAUCUCAAGAAGGUGGAAAGUAGUUGAGUCUCCAGGUCCAUUCAGUCCUUGGCCUCU
rnacentral:sRNA from 1 species